UUGUUGACUUUGCAGGGGCCUGAGGAUUUGUGGGAUGCUUUGGUAUUAUUGCUUUAAAUGUAAUAGCUCUUUGAGGGCUUACUUUAUAUUCCCAGCUGGUAGACCAUAGCCAGCCUCUUACCCCACUAUAGUAACCGCCUUCCCUACUCCCCCAGUGUGAGAUAACAGUGUGUUAACCAGCUGACUAACAACACUGCUGAGAUGCUGGCAGAUGAGUGGACAAAAGUGUGAUAGAAGGGAUGACAGACUGGAAAUCGCAUUUAAAAAUAAAAAUAAAAAAAGAAUUACACACUAAACUUAAAUACAAUUCAAAUGACAAUACUAAUCAGCAGGUAUUAACUAGCUGAUGUAUAUAUGUGUGGAUGAGUAAUAAAUCGUAUUUCAUUUCUAUUUUAUGGAGAUGGAGACUGGCCUUCUAUGAACUACAGAGCUAGGUGUUGUGACGGCACUAAGAUGGCACUAAGGAGAAAAGAGGGACUGCACACAUAUAUGUUAGGCCUCAGUACUCAAACAUAAGAAAACCUGUAAAUGGCUUUUUGAACAAAGGGCAGAAGCUUCCUCACUCCCAACAAAAAAUCUCCAGUUCAAAAUUAGUACAACCUGUUAACACAUACCGUCAGACAAAAUAUUUUGUUUUGAUUCGCUUUUCUUGAUUUGCAAUAUAUGUAUGCAUAUAAAUGGUUGGUUAAAAGAUGAUUGGAGAAUUUGUUUAUUUAUAUUCUCAUAUAGUUCUUUCUUCACGUCCAUCUUAUUAAUGAUACUCUAGAUGUUCUAUGAAAUGGGUAAUUUGUCUUAACAUUAUGUGUUUUUUCUUCUUCUUCUCCAGUCUUGAUAUGGCUUUCCAGAUAACGUCUGGCCCAGGGCUAGUUAUGUUCCUAGAUCUAGACCUGUUCCUAGAUCUAGAUCUGUUCCUAGGUCUAGUUAUGUUCCUAGAUCAGUUUCUAGAUCAGCUGCUAACUGGGCUAACUGCUCUCUUUGGCUUUGUUUGUUAAGAUCAGUGGUGCAGGGUGGUGUGCUAAAGUAAGCCCUUCUCCGCCUUGUACAGUAGACAGUCUACUGCCCUCAUGCCUACUGUGCUGCUGUAAGCACAGGGACCUACCCUUCAAUCAGCCAUGACUAAGCCAUAAACAUUUCACUCUGUCCCUCUAAAGUGUCUUAUGAAUGUGGUGUGUAUAUUAAAAAAAGAUACAAAUAUGUAUAUACCUUGUGACAGAUUGAGUAUUAUAUAAAUAAUGUUGACAAACUUAUUAUACAAAUUUGCUUUAAAUGUUUAUCAUAAUGGUAAUAAAAUAUUUACCGAUGUAUACACAUUACAACAACUAUAUUGAUUUGAUUAUUUGAUGGUUGAUUAUGUAUUGGUUUUUUUGUGAACAUGGAGAAAUGUACAUUUUACUGAGGGCCAUGUUCUGAAAAUGUAAAUAAACUGAACCAUUCAUCUAUGGGAAUUCUACAGUACAUACAAUACUGGAUUUUAGUGAAUUUAUUGAAUGCCACAACUAUUUGUCUUUCAGUUUUGUUGUUGUUUCUUGAUAUUUACAACCCUUUCUGAAUUUUAUAUUAUUUUGCACUUUGGGGUGCCAUUUUACUGAUAACAGCAUAUCAACAUAAUGGUUGUUUGACAUCUGAUCGCUGGAAAAUAAAAAUGAAGUGGUGCAAUCUUCAUAGGAAACUUUUCGUGUAGAAAAAGACAUGUAGAGUAACUACACACUGGUUUAUCUCAAGUACAAUGGUUAUUUUCUUACUUAAUCAUAUAUUACCUUAUAAUGUCCAGUGUUGUUUGCAAAAAUGAUUAACACCUGAGCUCAUAUGGAAAGCUCAAAACUGCGAUGUGAUGUGAAUAACUGAUUAAGAUCGUGCAGGACUUCUGCAGAAUCUGCUGACGUGCACAAUACACAAAUCUGUGUAUUUCCACGGGCUAAAUCUCAAUCUGUCUCUCUCCUGGACCUGGGCCAGGGCGAUCACUAGGAAGUGAUGCCUGUGCAUUAAUCUGCAGCAGAGAGGGACAGAGGAGACAAGAGGGGAUGAGACAAGGAUGGGGGUGAAAAUGAAUUUUUUCACUGAGGAACAUCGGUAACACUACUUGAGCCUUGUAGACGUAACCAUGUCCUCAUUUAUCAUGAUAAUUUCUGUUUAA
ensembl:lncRNA